AUUCUUUCUUAGAUGUAUGUAUAUAUAAAAAAUAAUGUCGUAAGUUAAAAAAAAAAGAAUUGGAGAAAGGACACCUAGGAAGAGGUGAUUUUUAGAAAGCGCUGAUUAUCGUGAAAAGUACAGAAUUUUAUUUCAUGCUUAUAAUCUUCUACAGAGACCCUCUCAAGCGAUUCGAACAAAACGGGAUGCUUUUUACAAGGAGAUCCUCCAAGUUCCCUAAGAAGUAAGAUAUCUCUUCUGAGAUACCGAAGGAGUUACCGAAAUCGCAUAGUACACAGGUAGUACCAGUCCGAUGAAAGCAACAAGGAUGUAAUACAGUACUAAGUGACGGAUUCCUACAAUAAGGAAACAGCACGCAGCAAACUGAAACUCCCCGCCUGUAAUGGCCCAGUCCUAUUCCCGAACCGUUUCUUUCAAGAAACGAAGAAAUAUUGACCGAGCCUCUUCAAAUGGAUACGCAACGGUGCGGUGGUACGAUACGGGCGUUUGACACAAGUGGAUACCCGGCCCAAGGGUAAUCCUGGAAAGUUACAUCGGGUCUAUGCAGAAUAAAAAUACAGAAUUUUUAAAAUCCCGUAUGGUAAUCAAGCCAUCAGAGAAUCCCCAGCUAACGACUGCUACAGUGGUAUAGUAGACCUCAAGGAAUUCCACAGGAAAACACUGGAGAAAGUAUAUAGAAUGGCAUUGGAAAGGUGGCAACAGCCAGCAAGCAAAUAUUCCGCAAUUCUUAAGGAGGUAGGAGUCGCAGGCUACAUCCUUAUUUACGAAAGAGACCACUAUGAAUCUACUUACCUCUUCCUGCAUAAGUUAUUCCCGGAAUAAGUCUGGAAAGGAAAACCUAGGUAACUAGGGAGCAGUGGCGGCUCGUAGCUAAAAUUAGUGGGGGUGCUGCUCCAGAAAAUUUUUAACCUUUGUGCAGAGGAAGGUCCAAAAGUAAGAACUAUGUAUUAUUAGUCUUCUAGGAGAUGUUCGUAGUCUUGUACCAUCGUAAAUCAGAGUUUAUCAGGACAAAUAGUUUUGCCGUGCUAACGACCUUCCAAUUUUUUCAGCCUCUGGAACGUCUAGGUCUAGGACCUCUACGUGAUUGUGUGAUUUAAGAACUGAUAUGAUAGAUAUACUUUAACAAUUUUAGACAAAGGAUGACAUAUAAUAGCGUCCCAAAUAACAAGUACUGUUUUUAUAGACCCAGGUAUAAUCAUUCAUUAGGGCAGAGCACCUUAGUAACAGUAACGGUACAUGAGAUUUUAUAUUAGUUCUCUUAGGAGCCAUUGAUGUAAUUAGGAUUUUUAUUUGGGGUCAUCAGUUCUUUCAACUUUAGGUCGAGUUUAUAUUGGGCAAAUAAACUUUGCCGGUACCAGGGGACGAAAAGACUUGCCCAGUAUAAAUUCGGCCCAAGUACACGUUAUUUAUUUUUAUUAGGAUUUUAGGAGCAGGCAAAUGGUUUUUGACUUCCUUCAAUAAUUGCUGGUGUCCAGGGUAGUUUUACAGGUGGUAAUAAAUA